AGAGUUUGAUCCUGGCUCAGAGUGAACGCUGGCGGCGUGCCUAAUACAUGCAAGUCGAACGAUGAAGCUUCUAGCUUGCUAGAAUGCUGAUUAGUGGCGCACGGGUGAGUAACGCAUAGGUUAUGUGCCUCUUAGUUUGGGAUAGCCAUUGGAAAUGAUGAUUAAUACCAGAUACUCCCUACGGGGGAAAGAUUUAUCGCUAAGAGAUCAGCCUAUGUCCUAUCAGCUUGUUGGUAAGGUAAUGGCUUACCAAGGCUAUGACGGGUAUCCGGCCUGAGAGGGUGAACGGACACACUGGAACUGAGACACGGUCCAGACUCCUACGGGAGGCAGCAGUAGGGAAUAUUGCUCAAUGGGGGAAACCCUGAAGCAGCAACGCCGCGUGGAGGAUGAAGGUUUUAGGAUUGUAAACUCCUUUUGUUAGAGAAGAUAAUGACGGUAUCUAACGAAUAAGCACCGGCUAACUCCGUGCCAGCAGCCGCGGUAAUACGGAGGGUGCAAGCGUUACUCGGAAUCACUGGGCGUAAAGAGCGCGUAGGCGGGAUAGUCAGUCAGGUGUGAAAUCCUAUGGCUUAACCAUAGAACUGCAUUUGAAACUACUAUUCUAGAGUGUGGGAGAGGUAGGUGGAAUUCUUGGUGUAGGGGUAAAAUCCGUAGAGAUCAAGAGGAAUACUCAUUGCGAAGGCGACCUGCUGGAACAUUACUGACGCUGAUUGCGCGAAAGCGUGGGGAGCAAACAGGAUUAGAUACCCUGGUAGUCCACGCCCUAAACGAUGGAUGCUAGUUGUUGGAGGGCUUAGUCUCUCCAGUAAUGCAGCUAACGCAUUAAGCAUCCCGCCUGGGGAGUACGGUCGCAAGAUUAAAACUCAAAGGAAUAGACGGGGACCCGCACAAGCGGUGGAGCAUGUGGUUUAAUUCGAAGAUACACGAAGAACCUUACCUAGGCUUGACAUUGAGAGAAUCCGCUAGAAAUAGUGGAGUGUCUAGCUUGCUAGACCUUGAAAACAGGUGCUGCACGGCUGUCGUCAGCUCGUGUCGUGAGAUGUUGGGUUAAGUCCCGCAACGAGCGCAACCCCCUUUCUUAGUUGCUAACAGGUCAUGCUGAGAACUCUAAGGAUACUGCCUCCGUAAGGAGGAGGAAGGUGGGGACGACGUCAAGUCAUCAUGGCCCUUACGCCUAGGGCUACACACGUGCUACAAUGGGGUGCACAAAGAGAAGCAAUACUGCGAAGUGGAGCCAAUCUUCAAAACACCUCUCAGUUCGGAUUGUAGGCUGCAACUCGCCUGCAUGAAGCUGGAAUCGCUAGUAAUCGCAAAUCAGCCAUGUUGCGGUGAAUACGUUCCCGGGUCUUGUACUCACCGCCCGUCACACCAUGGGAGUUGUGUUUGCCUUAAGUCAGGAUGCUAAAUUAGCUACUGCCCACGGCACACACAGCGACUGGGGUGAAGUCGUAACAAGGUAACCGUAGGUGAACCUGCGGUUG
rnacentral:rRNA from 5 species